UACGGGGGGGGCAAGCGUUGUUCGGAAUUACUGGGCGUAAAGGGUUCGUAGGUGGCCGGCUAAGUCAGACGUGAAAUCCCCAGGCUCAACCUGGGAACUGCGUCUGAUACUGGAUGGCUUGAAUCCGGGAGAGGGAUGCAGAAUUCCAGGUGUAGCGGUGAAAUGCGUAGAUAUCUGGAGGAAUACCGGUGGCGAAGGCGGCAUCCUGGACCAUUACUGACACUGAAUAGCGAAAGCCAGGGGAGCAAACGGG
rnacentral:rRNA from 1 species